rnacentral:lncRNA from 1 species
UCUGCAGUUCGUUUUCACACUACAGAUUGGUGAAUUUGCCAACGUCCUCACUGUGAUUAUGUGUAUAUUGCUGUUUAAAUUUUGUAUAUGUGUAUAAAAUGAAAAGCUUCACCUAGAGAUUAUUUCUGCAAAAAUGUAUUGUAAAAAUAAUUUUGUGGCAUAUUUUUGGUCCCCCCCUUUUUUUUUCAAAUGAACCAGUUAUACUUUAUUUGGUCUCAAAUUUCAGAAAACAUAACUGUCCCCGUAAGCAAGUAUUGCCAGAAUUAACCUCAUUGCUUAAGAGGCCAACUUCUGGAAGAAGUAGGAGCCAUGACUUACUGUGGCAUAAGCCAAAUAUGACUUGGUUUCCUUGACAACUUUGGUAUUUUAAAGUGACAAAAGUUAUUUAUUUGAGUGCACAAACAGCUGACACGCUACAAAGCAUUUCUAACACAAAACGUACAGGUUUAUGGUGUUUUUUCCCUUCCUCUUCCUCCUCUCCUCCUUAAAUUGCUCCUUAUUUUAAAUCGAAGCUUACGUUUCCAUAAACCUUCCUCUGUUUCCCUGCUUUGUGUUCCUCUAGCAGUGCUUGGUCUGCUGAAGCUCUCUGUGCCACUGUGCAAACCGUCCUUUGCCACCCACCCUCAUGAGCCUCCUGGUUUGCUGGCGGCAUGACUGCAAAGCACUUUGAACUAUGCUUGAGAUUUUAGUUACUCUUUCAUGGUGUCUGUAAUACCCUAGGGCUUUGGAGUUGUUUGUUUGUUUUUGUUUUUAAACCACAAGUGAGAGCUGUUUGUUUCCUGUCUUUGUUUCACCCGUGCUGGGCUUCUCCUGGCCACGCGUCCAUUGCAGGCAGUGGACUGAAACCACCAGCAUCGAGCUAACCCUGUUCACACUGGGACCUUUCUCGGAGGGGCCGCUUGCCAUUCCCUGAGUCACAGGUACAGAAGGGUGGUAGUAGCCAUUAUGUGGAUGAGAAACCAGAGCCAACACAGCAGUAGUUGUGAGUUUGUACCUUAUGUCUUACGUUUAAGGUUUGCAUCUGCUUGCUUGCUUGCCUUGCCCCUCGUGCAGAAGUACACAGUUAACAGGUUUCCCCAACCAUGUGGUGCUAUGACUCACUCGGUCCCUGAAGUCUGUGAAAACACAUCUAAGAUUUAACCCAGGAAAGAGCUAAUGGCUGGUUUGCUGGGUAAAUGGUAUAGAGGGAUCCGUGCCUGCCCAGGCAGGUGAUGGCUACAAGAUGGUGGGGUUAUUGGCC